UGGGGAAUCUUGCGCAAUGGGCGAAAGCCUGAUGGUGUGACGCCGCGUGGAGGAUGAAGGUCUUCGGAUUGUAAACUCCUGUCAAGUGAGAGUAAAGCUGUGCGUUAACUGCGUCACAGUCUGAGAGUAUCACUAGAGGAAGAGACGGCUAACUCUGUGCCAGCAGCCGCGGUAAUCCAGAGGUCUCAAGCGUUGUUCGGAAUCACUGGGCGUAAAGGGUGCGUAGGCCGCAAUGUAAGUCAGAUGUGA
rnacentral:rRNA from 1 species